GAAGUCUGACGGAGCACGCCGCGUGAGUGAUGAAGGCUUUCGGGUCGUAAAACUCUGUUGUUAGGGAAGAACAAGUGCUAGUUGAAUAAGCUGGCACCUUGACGGUACCUAACCAGAAAGCCACGGCUAACUACGUGCCAGCAGCCGCGGUAAUACGUAGGUGGCAAGCGUUAUCCGGAAUUAUUGGGCGUAAAGCGCGCGCAGGUGGUUUCUUAAGUCUGAUGUGAAAGCCCACGGCUCAACCGUGGAGGGUCAUUGGAAACUGGGAGACUUGAGUGCAGAAGAGGAAAGUGGAAUUCCAUGUGUAGCGGUGAAAUGCGUAGAGAUAUGGAGGAACACCAGUGGCGAAGGCGACUUUCUGGUCUGUAACUGACACUGAGGCGCGAAAGCGUGGGGAGCAAACAGGAUUAGAUACCCUGGUAGUCCACGCCGUAAACGAUGAGUGCUAAGUGUUAGAGGGUUUCCGCCCUUUAGUGCUGAAGUUAACGCAUUAAGCACUCCGCCUGGGGAGUACGGCCGCAAGGCUGAAACUCAAAGGAAUUGACGGGGGCCCGCACAAGCGGGRGAGCAUGUGGUUUAAUUCGAAGCAACGCGAAGAACCUUACCAGGUCUUGAC
rnacentral:rRNA from 2 species